CCCCCACCUCCCCACUUUUAGGAACAUGGCCUCCCAGCUACAGACUACAUUUACCAGCAUCCCUUGAAGCUAAGUAUGUUCAUGUGAUGAGAUUCUGGGCAACGGAGGAGGAGUGGAAUUUAUAUGUCACUUCCUUGAAGACACCUGCCAUGAACUCUUUCUCCAGCAGCGCUGAGGAGUGCGACAUUCAGGAAAUGGCAAUGCGGCAGUAAGGAAGGAAUCUGUGCCCUUUAAUGACCUAGAGGAGUAGAUCCACUUCGCCACCUGGACCGGCCAGACUAAUGUGGCCCGGACUCUCAGCUGGACUGACAGGCAAAAUAUCUGUGUCCGUGUACGUUAUUCAUCUGUCACUGGGUCAAGGUCUCCGGGACAGACCCCCUACAGCUGGCGCUCCGUGUGAGGAAUGCUGCGAAGGAUCACGACGGACCCCCCAAAAUGAAGGUGAAAAGGACCGCAGAGUCAGUGAGUCAGAUACAAAGCUGGAAUAAGAGGAAUGACCACUUCGUCUGACAGACCUGUUGCUGCACACAUCUGUACCCUUCGGUCAACAGAACCCGAUGCAAAGAACAGAAAAGGGAGAGAUGUGGGAGUUCAGACAGGCUGGUGGCGUGUCCAGAAUUUAUUCCUUCCGGUGGGUUCUUGGUCUCGCUGACUUCAAGAAUGAAGCCGCAAACCUUUGCUGCCUAUAUCACCCAAACCUGAAAAGGGAAAGAAGGAUGUGAAGAAAAUAAUAUAGGAGGAAGAAGAAUGAAGAAACAGCGGGCAAGAAAAAGAAGAAGACUAGAAAGAGAAGAUGAAGCAGGAUAAAGUGGAGGAGAAAUAGCUUUACUGAAUGGAAGUAUGUCUGUUACUUCUGCUCUUCCAACAACAACAACAACAACAAAAAGCCCAAGGAUGCUGCUAAAUAUCUUAAAAGGUACAAGCAAAUAGUUAUGAUAGUUUUA
rnacentral:lncRNA from 10 species